AUGUAUUAAAGAGAAAAUGGCGAGGAGCCUCCUACAUUCUAGGAAAAAUUAUGUAUUUUACAUAUUGACUCUAAGAGAAAUUAAAUAAUAAACGAAGGCGAAUUGAAAUAUCUUAGUAGCUUCAGGAAAAUAAAUCAAACGAGAUUCUACAAUUAGUGUGAAUGAAAGUAGAGUAGCCUAUAUACCACUGAGUAUAUAAAUAAGUAAAAUGGAUACAAAUCUGUUUAAAUUUUAAGGGGAACCUUCCUCUAAGGCUAAAUAUAAUACAUAAGCGACAGUGAACUAGUACCGUGAGGGAAUGGGUUGAAUUAGUAGUUUUAUAAGCAGCUCGAGCUAAGGCAAGAGCGUACCUUUUGCAUAAUGGGUCACCAAGUUAACAUUAGAUGCGAGCAAUUUGCGUAGUUAAACCGAUGAUCAAAAAUGAAUUAGUGUCUAAAGUUAGACCCGAAGCUAGGUGAUCUUACUAUAGUCAGGAUUAUAAAAGUCCGAACGGGUAGAAAAAUAAAUAUCCGAAGAACUAUGGUAAGUAUAGUGAAAGACAAAACUGACCUAGAUAGCUGUUUCUGCGAAACCUAUAAUAGUAGGCAAUUUAAGUAAGAUCUUCGCAGGUACAGAACUUAAUCUCAGGCAAGAUGUUACAAAUUUUUUGAUAAGUAGAAUAAACUAGUUAAAAAAUCAACAUUUUACUUUGUAUAUAUCGGGGGGUCGUAGAGACUUUAUCGGUGAGUAUGUAGACUCGGAAUGGCAAAGAUGAAUCUUGAAUUAUCAGACAUAGAAUGAUAAGGUUGUAUGUCAAAAGGGAAACAGCCCAGAACAAGAGUUAAGGUGCUUGUAAGUGGUAAUUUGUAAAUUACCCGGUUUCUUUCUUUAAUGAGGAAGAAGUCUGACUCAAGUCUGAGUCCAACUGGAACUCGGCAAACUAACUACCGUAACUUAGGGAUAAGGAGGGCUCAGUUGUCCCGAAAUUUUCGGGUAAGGACGAAGAAGCAUAAAAUAAUGUUGUACGACUGUUUAAUUAAAACAAAGCACUUUGCAUAAAGACUUAAAGUCUAAGUAUAGAGUGUGAUUUCUGCCCGGUGCCGGCUGGCUAACGAAAAUAACUAACUUUAAAAUGUUCGGUACUGUAGGAACCCCCGGUUAAUGGCGGCCUUAUCUUGAGGAGCCUAAGGUAGCGGAAUACCUUGACUGUUAAAUGCAGUCUUUGCAUGAAUGAUGUAACGAUACAACAGCUGUCUCUAUGAUUGACUCAGUGAAAUUGGCAUAGCAGUGCAGAUACUGCUUACCUCUAGUUAGACGAGAACCCUAUGCAGCUUUACUGUUACUAAUUACUAGGCAUGGUUGGGGACAAAUUUUAGUAAAUAAGGUAAUUGAUAAGAUAGAAAUGUAAUACCUUUAUUUGGGGAUCGUAUUGUAUGGAUUAAGCGUGUUAAAAAUCUAAUAUAAUAAUAGGGUAGUUUUGUAUGUAAACUACCUACAUUCUUUUUAGGUUACACACUGACAUUUCGGAAUACUAAAUUAAGAGAAUUAGACAAAGUUACAACUGAAUAAUUCUUUAUGCAUGUUAGAAUUAGGUGAAAACGGUUAAAGAAUAAUGCCAUAUUCAAGACCGUCGGUGGUUGUAAAUAUCGCUACAGACUGGUUCACCUACGUAGAGCUGAAAUGCUCGCGAAUGUACAGUCGGGCACUAUAAUAAGAAUUAUAACUUCUUAUAGGGAGAAUGGUAUAAUUAAUUAGUAAGGAUAAUACCCACUUAAAUUAAUUACCUUUUUUGCAAUGAAAGGGAUAAUGUACUCUCAGUUAAUUAGUGUUGUUAUGCGGGGCACAGACCCCACAAAGAGUAAAUGGGAGUGUCCAAUUAUGUUUUAUGUUUAUUGUUUAUAGAUGUAACACUAAAUAAAAUUUUAAAUGUAAUUUUUUGUUUGUAAUAGUAGAUAGCAAUACGCUAUAUUCUAUCUUAUUUAUGUAUAGAUGUACAAGCUUAAAUACAUAAUGUGUUUAAUAAUUAUUGCUUUUUUGUAUCUAAAUACUCUAUCAGUAUGGAUUUACAAAACUUUAAUGAGGAGCAAAAUUUUUUUUUAUUAGGUAGGAUUUUGAUUAUAGUGAAAUUAGUCGUAGUUAAAAUAUUAAGAAUUUAUCUAAUAUUUUAUUAGCUAUUUUAUAUUAGUAUAUAAUGGUUAUGUAUAAUACUUAUCAAGUUUAAUGGCUUAAUCCUGCCUUACUGUUUGACCACCAACAAGUCUUACAGUCGCGUAAGCGGGGCAUAGGAUCACAAGACACAAAAAGGAAAGGUCUUGGAUUAUUGGAAAAGCUACGCUAGGGAUGUUGAACAGGCUAAUUUGCGCAAGAGUGUACAAAAUGAGUGCGCGGUUUGGCACCUCGAUGUCGGCUUAACUUAUCCUCAUGGAUGCAGGAACUAUGUAGGGUACGACUGUUCGUCGAUUAAAAAGUUACAUGAGCUGGGUUAAAUACGUCGUGAGACAGUAUGGUUUCUAUCUUCUAGAGGGAAUUAGAAUAUAAUAAGGAAUAACCUAUGUACGCAAGGAACUUGGUAUAUUAAUAUAUUAAUAUUAAUAUUGAAAUAACAUAAUUAUUAAUCUCUGGUUUACCUGUUGUUUAUAUGUCCAAAUAUUAAUGUAAAUUAUAUAGGACUAUCCUACUUUCACUUGAGUAGUUAUAUAGUAUAGGCACGGCAGGAAAGUUAGGUUUUUGACCUAAGGAACGAAAACCUUGAGAGGGGUGAUAGUUAUAAUUCCUUUUUAAUAUAUAUUUCUUUAAGUUCUACAAAGUUUGAUCUACUCCUAAAAAACUUAAUUAAAGACAGGUUCUAGUAUUAAGAGAGUUAGUAACCAUAUAACAACAAAAAAGGAUGGUAGUUUAUAUCUAGUAAUGUUUAAUAAAAUAAAUAAAAAAGAAGGGGGAGGGGGGGGGGUUACUCUGAUUUAUAAAUAUAGAAAAUAUUAAAAAAUUUUCAUUCCAUCUUUGUUGACCUAUUGUUUACUAGAAAAUGAAUCUAAUUUUUUAUUUAAUAGAUUUAGUAUAGGUUCAGGUUUAUUAUUUUUCAUACAAGAUGAAUUAUUAAAAGAAUAUAAUUAUGAAUCAAUGCAUAUAAGACAACUAAAUUGAAAAGAUAAAAAUUUGAUAAAUUUAAUAUCUAGAUCUUUACAUAUCAUAGAUAUUUUAAAAAUCUUAAUAAAUUAUCUUUAUAUUUAUUAGCCAAAACUCUAGGUGUAAAUUUAGCAAGCACUUUAAAAUCUACUCAUUCAGGGUUAUCUCUAUAAAAAUUAUUUUAAAUCUCAUCUACUUGAUUUUGUAUGGCUAUAUUAUCCCGCUCCAUAGCAUUCUAUAAUGCUUGUUUAUAAAUAUUAAAUAUCAUGAUACUUUUUUUUAUUUAUUUAUACUUACAAUACGAGUUAAAAAUUACUUUUUUAAUAUAAAAUAAUUUAAAUUAGAAUAUUUUCUAGUGCACUCGACAAGCACUCAUUGCGAGUAAUAUCAUUUAAGGUCGUAAAUAAUCGAAGAAUAAUAUACCUUAUUAUCUACCUAGAACCUAUCUAUAAU
rnacentral:rRNA from 1 species